rnacentral:rRNA from 1 species
AAAAAUACAAGGCUUGUUCGCUUGCGAGCAGCUAUUGGAAUGGGUCCAAUUUAACCCNUUAACGAGGACCUAUGAGAGGGCAGUCUGGUGCCAGCAGCCGCGGUAAUUCCAGCUCUCAAAAUGUACUUUAACCAUUGUUGCGGUUAAAAAGCUCGUAGUUGGAUCUCUGCAACGCGAAGUGGUUCGUUCAUUGAACGAUUACUUCUUCGCGUUGCUCUCUUUUGUCGGUUUUUGGCAGUGUUCCUCACGGAGUGCUGUCGUGACUGACGAGUUUACUUUGAAUUAAUUAGAGUGCUUAAAACAGGCGUUUCGCUUGAAUAGUCUAGCAUGGAAUAAUGGAAUAGGACUUCGGUUCGAUUUUAUUGGUUUUAUGGAUCGAAGUAAUGAUUAGUAGGAAUAAACGGGGGCAUUCGUAUUGUUACGUUAGAGGUGAAAUUCUGGGACCGUAGCAAGACGAUCGACUGCGAAAGCAUUUGCCAAGAAUGUUUUCAUUAAUCAAGAACGAAAGUUAGGGGUUCGAAGGCGAUCAGAUACCGCCCUAGUCCUAACCCUAAACUCUGCCAACUAGCGAUCCGUCGAUGGUAAUUUAGCCUUGAUGGGGAGCUAAUCGGAAACGAAAGUCUUCCGGUUCCGGGGGAAGUAUGGUUGCAAAGCUGAAACUUAAAGAAAUUGACGGAAGGGCACCACCAGGAGUGGAGCCUGCGGCUUAAUUUGACUAAGGGC